rnacentral:rRNA from 1 species
UUGCAUAUCAAUAAGCGGAGGAAAAGAAACUAACAAGGAUUCCCCUAGUAACGGCGAGUGAAGCGGGAAGAGCUCAAAUUUGAAAUCUGGUGGCCUCAGGUCAUCCGAGUUGUAAUCUAUAGAAGUGUUUUCCGUGCUGGCUCAUGUACAAGUCCCUUGGAACAGGGCGUCAUAGAGGGUGAGAAUCCCGUCCUUGACAUGAACUACCAGUGCUCUGUGAUACAUUUUCAACGAGUCGAGUUGUUUGGGAAUGCAGCUCAAAAUGGGUGGUAAAUUCCAUCUAAAGCUAAAUAUUGGCGAGAGACCGAUAGCGAACAAGUACCGUGAGGGAAAGAUGAAAAGCACUUUGGAAAGAGAGUUAAACAGUAUGUGAAAUUGUUGAAAGGGAAACGAUUGAAGUCAGUCGUGCUCUUUGGAUUCAGCCGGUUCUGCCGGUGUACUUCCUUUGAGUGGGGUCAACAUCAGUUUUGAUCGCUGGAUAAAGGCUGGAGGAACGUAGUACCCUCGGGUAAACUUAUAGCCUCCUGUCACAUACAGUGGUUGGGACUGAGGAACGCAGCACGCCUUUAUGGCCGGGAUUCGUCCACGUACGUGCUUAGGAUGUUGACAUAAUGGCUUUAAACGACCCGUCUUGAAACACGGACC